rnacentral:rRNA from 1 species
CGAACGCAUCUUCGGAUGAGUGGCAGACGGGUGAGUAACACGUGGGAACGUACCUUUUGGUUCGGAAUAACUCAGGGAAACUUGUGCUAAUACCGGAUAAGCCCUUCGGGGGAAAGAUUUAUCGCCGAUAGAGCGGCCCCGCGUCUGAUUAGCUAGUUGGUGGGGUAAAGGCUCACCAAGGCGACGAUCAGUAGCUGGUCUGAGAGGAUGAUCAGCCACACUGGGACUGAGACACGGCCCAG